rnacentral:lncRNA from 1 species
AGGUUGUGACGCACUUACGUACCGCAACAUCAACCGUCGUCACGACAGCAUUAAAGAAAGCUGGACAAUCAAAGGUACUUGAGACUUUCCGAAUAAACCCCGUCGACCAGCAUAUGCUUAUGCCAUUUUCUACCCUGUUCACUGAUACACGCAUCAACCAAAUCAAUCAAUCCAUAUAGUCCUUGCCUCGGGUGAAUCGGGAAACCACACCCUGUGUAAACAAGAGAAAAUGCGCAAUUUUUUACAGAUCUGAAAACAAACAGGAUGUUUUCGGACUACUUGUUCCAGUUGUUGUUAUCGCCUUGUUACAGAGUUGAUGACAGUAACAGGUUUGCUACAAGUUGUUCCAACAAGACUAAUACAGGCUGUUCGUAACAAGUUUGUUGUCAUCAACUUGUUAACAACUUGCUGGAACAACUAUUUUUACAAGAUCAUAGCGACUUGUUUCGAAUUUGUCAACAACUGGGAACAAGCAGUGCGAACAUAUCCUGUGACAAGCAAGCAAGUGUGUAAUGUGCAAUAAAAGAAAACAUAAAGUAAUACUUUCAUACAUUUCAAUAAAGUUAUAUUUGAUGUUUGUGAUGUUACUCUGAGUGCAUAUCCACACGGUGCAAGCUUGAAAAACGUGCCUGACCACGGUGGCACUCAGAGUAACAUCACAAACAUCUGAGUACACAACACCAACACAGAAAAUCAUGAUUAAAAGUUAUAUUCAUUGUUACUGUUGCAAGUAGUGAAUUUUCUUUCAUUAUUAUUCUCAGGUGCGACGUACUGUAGUCACCCGAGUGCACGAGGCAGUCAAAGCGUUGGCAUUAUGUCAUAAUGUUACACCCGUGCGCAAAGGAGAGGAGAAUGGGGAGAGUGAAGAGUCCUCGAGUCUGGCAAAGCAGGAUGGGAUUACAGAUGAUGAUGAGGGUGAAGUAGGAGCAGUGAGCGAUGACUUCACUUAUCAAGCGUCC